rnacentral:lncRNA from 11 species
GUUUGCUUCGAGCCAAGAGGGACGGAGAAGGAGGAGGAGGAGGAGCAGCUACACACUGAAUGACAUAGUAAUUGAGCCAUUCACCGCAACCAAAGAAACCUUUGCUGCGUACUUGUCACCAGAUGAGAUCCUAUCAGAGACAGGGUGGCCAAUUGUGCAUUGCCAAAAACAUCCUCAACCCAGAAAAUGCGUUACCAAGAAAGAGGACAAAAGAUAGUAUGAAUGUAAAUAAAAUGUGCUCAUGCUCAUCUAUACCUAUGGACUUUAUUGCAUAGCACCAUGAACAUCCCAUUCCCAG